UUUCAUCUAACAGGAAAACAAAAGCCCUAAACAAUGUUUGAGGGAAGGACACUGUAGGAAUUUGCAAGUGACAUUUUUUGCAUGCAAAAGAUCAAUGUUGGAUACCAGGGCAAGAUUCAGAGGAAGGAAGGGAUACUGAAGUCCUUGUGAAGAGACCCAGCCAUGGGAAAUCAGGGUUCAUCAGCGCUUUAAGCAAAAAACAGAGAUUGAAGUAAGAAGAUUGUAUCUGCUGCAUCCUUUCAUGCAGUGUUUUUGUGGAAGGUUAUCUACUCAUGAGUUCUUCUGAUAGAUUGGCCUGGAUAUGCGUUUAAAUGUUAAAAAGAAGGCAAGCAUAAAACUGCAAGUUCUGGCCAAAAUGGGUGCAUGUCUUGUACUUGCAAUAAAAUAUGUGAAAUCCAGAAUAAGCUGCAGAAGUUAUCAUUCUGUUUUGAAGUAGUCUUUUGUGGUUUUACUAAUUCUGGUCAUGUUUUUCUAUUACAAAUAAUACAGGAUAUAGAACUGGUAGUUCACUCAAUGGGUGUCUCAGAGGAUGCCUCAGGACAGAGCUGUUUUCAGAGAUGAUGAGUUGACCAAGUUUGUGAAAUGUAUGUGCAGGCUGCAUUCUCCCCAGUACGUUUGUUACCCAAUAAACCUGCACAAGUAGAUGGGAGUGGCGAUAUUUUUGCAGUCCCACAUGUAUAAGGAUGGCAUCUCAUUCCUCUUGCUACAAAUUCAGUGUGAUGAUUGAUGUACUUUUAGAUUAAAAUUUGAUUACUCUA